CCAGGGUAAAGAUUUCAUGCAAAAUUUGCUCAGUUAUACCCUCGACGAAGAUUGCCCAUGAUAGUUUCACCCGUUGGCGCCAUCUCGGCGGGAGACGGAAACUACAAUGUUCGGAAUGUCGAAUCAAGCUAUUUCCAAUAAUGUUGGAAAACAUCGUCACAAUUAUCGGAGGAUUUACGGUGAUCCUACUUAGCCUUGUGUGCGAGAGAUCCCUAUUAUCUGUUUUGCAUAGAGAUCUAUUGCGUCGAAUAUCCAUUUGCUACGGUAAGUUCCCGGUACCUUUAACGUUAUUUUUCUUGGAACGGGUUGGAAAAUAUUGUCACACUUAUCGGAGGAUUUACCGAAAUCCUGCUUACCCUUGUGUGCAAGAGAUCACUAUUGUCUGCUUUAGAAAGAGGUCAAUUACGUCCAAUAAACAUUUGCUACGGUAAGUUUCCGGUACCUUUAACGUUAUUUUCGUAGAAACUUGAGUUGGAAAAUAUCGUCAACACUUAUCGGAUGAUUUACCGCAAUCCUACCUCUCCUUGUGUGCGAGAGAUCCCUAUUAUCUGCAUUGGAUAGAGAUCUAUCGAGACGAACAACCAUUGUAAGUUUCCGGUAAAAUUAAGGUCCGUUUCUUGAAAGUUGAUUUGAAAAUAUAAGUUUUAUUGAUUUUUAUCAUAAGAGUUGUGUGUGACGAAUCUCUAAUACCUGUUUGAAACUGAGAAUUAUUGUAUCCAAUAAACACUUGCUACGAUUACUUGGCGACAAAA